GACUUCUGACUCUCUUCCCAGGUGUCACCUAUCUUCCUGUCCUGUCAAGUUAUCCAAGGAAGAUUCUGCUCAUGUGCUCUCUGCCCAUUUCACAGCUGGAAAAACCAAGGAGCCUGGCAGACAGAGGGGAAGGAAAGGACUGGAGGCCAGCGAAAAGAAUCUUGGCGAGUUUCCACAAUGGACAGGCCAACGGGACUGCCCAGCAGGAUGGACAGUGCUUAGGAGGUCCCCUGGAAGGAGCCCAGAACACUGACUGGUGGUGUCUGCAUCAGGCUGCUCUUUUGUGACUGCUAAGAGUGGGAAGAGCCAUGGACAGCCCUCGAGCCCCUCUGCUGGUAUUACAGGCAGUGUCCACACCCAGCUUCUUACGGCCAGGGAUCGAAACACAGCCCCUCAUGGUGGCAUAACAAGCACUUGACCAAUGGAGCUAUCUUCCCAGCCCUCCAUCCACUUCUCUGCGGAAAGAAGGACUGGGGACCGCAAGUACAGGUCUGGGCAGAACCUGGCUUGUUACUUUCCCUGGGAUCACCACGCGUCACCGAGGUUUCAAGGCUGAUUAAUGGAGUGAGCUAAGACCUCAGUGUCUAGAAAGUUCUAGCUGUGGUGCUAAGGGCAUAGUGGAAGGAGCCAUGCUAAAAAUAGGUGCUCGACAGUUUCAUAGAUGCAUGCAUGUGUGGGUAAAGGGAUGAGUGGGUGGAUGGAUAGAUGCGUCUAUGUAUGCGUGGGCAGAUGAGUGGAUAAAUGGUGGACGGAUGGAUGGUUAGAAAAGGGUUGGCAGAUAGAUGGGGGAGUGGAUGGAUGAGGCAUGGGUGUGUAGGAAGACGGAUGAAUGGGUGAGUAGAUGGAUGGAUAUGUAGGAAGAUAGAUGGAGGGUGGGCCAGUGAAUGGGUGGAUGAAUGAAAUAAUACAUAGAAGAUUAGAUGGGAGGAUGGAUGAAUAUGUGGGUGAAUAAAUAAAUGGAUAUGUGGCUUGGGUGAAUAUAUAGAAGGAUGGAUGGGCAGAUGGGUGAAUAGAUAAACAGGUAAGUAGAAGAACUGAUAGGCAGGUGGAUGGUUGACUGGAUGGAGAGACACAUAUCUGAGUGACCAUUGCUCUAAUGGAGUUUAGACACAGAUAGUCUCUUCACAAGAUUCUAGAAUGAAGUGGCACACAUAUCUGAGUGACCACUGCUCUAAUGGAGUUUAGACACAGAUAGUCUCUUCACAAGAUUCUAGAAUGAAGUGGCACACAUAUCUGAGUGACCAUUGCUCUAAUGGAGUUUAGACACAGAUAGUCUCUUCACAAGAUUCUAGAAUGAAGUGGCACCAUGACUGACACCUUGCUGGACCAUCUAUAUCCAAACAUGAUGCAGGCAGCAGCCUAGAUGAUGGUCAGUGAGGGAUCCUCACACCAUUAAUGAAAUCAUCCUUUGUAAGGGAUAUCAUUUUAAUGACAGCUAUUAGAAUAGGAAGUAUGGAGAUAGCCAAUAAGAGACAGGUGUAGGCCAGGCCAGUCUCAGUGUGUGGGGGGCUAUCUCUGAUGCCUGAGUGGACAGAUGGAGAUGUUCUCAGGGAAGUCAGAAGGACCAGUGAUCUUUGAGUGCAGUCUGCCUUGCAAAUGCGCCGCUCCCGAAUCCUCCCUCCUCCUCUCCCCACCUUUUAGCCUUGGAAUUGAGAGAAGAAACCUUGAGACCACCUGCAUGACUUCAGCAGUAGCCAUAAGACUGGCUGGUUGACUUGACCUGGGCCUCAGUUUCCCCAUCUACAGAAUCAUGACAACAGAGUCAUGGGCACAUGGGAGAGUGUCUUCUGCUCUAGUUAGAGACCAAAAGGAGGCAAGCCCCUGGAGACCACCCAUACAGUCCCCGCUGGAGUAAGCAGAGAUGGGGAUGUUGGGGGCUUUCAUUACCCAAGUCUCUCCUCCAGACCAAAUGUGGGUAAUAAAGUCAUGUUGAACUGCC